ACCCGAUUGCAACACCUUGCACUUGGCCUUGUUGAACCUCACGAGGUUCCUGUGGGCCCAAUUCUCAAGCCUGGCCAGGUUCCUUGCAGUGGCAACCCUUCUGUUGUGUCAGCUGCAUCACUCAGCUUGAUUUCAUCAGCAGUCUUGCUGAGGAUACACUCAGUCCCACUGUCUGUCAUUGAUAAAGAUGUUGAAGAGCUCUUGUCUCAAGAUGGACCCCUGGAGGACACCAGUUGUGACUGGCCUCCACUUGGACAUAGAGCUGUUGACAACAAUCCCUCUGGCUAAGAUGGUCCAACCAAUUAUUUAUCCGCCAAAUAGGCCGUCAUUCAAAUCCAUCUCUCUCCAAUUUAGAGAGAGUGAUGUGUGGGACCGUGUCAAAGGCCUUGCACAAGUGCAGCCACAUGACUGCAGUUGCCCUUCCCUUGUCCACUGAGGCCAUCACACCAUCAUAGGAGGCUACUGAUCUGACCUUGUUGAAACCAUGCUAAUUGUCUUGGUCACCUCCACAUCUUGCGUGUGCCUUAACAUCUCUUCUAGAAAGAUCUGCUCCAUGACCUUCCCAGGCACAGAGGUGAGGCUUACUGGCCUGUAGUUCCCUGUGUUUGCCUUUCUUCAAAAAUGAGAGUGAUGUCUCUGUCUUUUUCCAAUCACUGGGGACUUUAUCUAACAACCAUGACUCUUCAAAUAUGAUGGAGAGCGGCUUGAUGACUACAUCAGGCAGUUUAUUCAGGACCUUGAGAUGCAUAUCAUUGGACCCCAUAGAUUUGUACAUAUUGGGCCUCAUGAGGUCCAAGGUUUACUGGGAACUCUUCACUUUUAGGUGGUUCCUAAUGAACAUUGAGCCCGUUUGAAAUGGUAGAAGAGCAGUAGAGUUUACGGAGGCUAGCCCACACAAGAUGCCACACAAAUUUUCUGUGCUUCCUCUUUGGGCCUCAUAAUGGCUGUCCAGUAAUCAAGGAAGCAUCUCGGUGACUGUGCCUCUACCAUUGCUCCAGCUUGUGUGAAGCCCCACACUUGCUUUUCUAUCUUGUGCAGGUUCACGGGGAGUUCCCUGAGCCUCUGGGUGAGUCUGCCAGCCUUAGUGCACCUUCUGUCACGCAUGGAUACCUGCUGCUCUCUGCUCUGCUCUGUGACGAUGGCUUCUGUCAGGGUGCUAGGCUCAAGCCUAAGUACAGCAGCACUGUCUGGUCCUGACGUGGGCUUACGUUCUCUUGAGGUCCCGUCUUUCUUUCGUGUUGAAUGAGGAAGAAGGUUUGUAGCGCCCGCAGCCAUCCUCGACAGAUGUGCUUUCUAAUGAUCGCAUUGUUGAGCACAAUGUGCAGAGGAAUCGGUUUGCAUAGCAAAGUCAAAUGCUGCACCAAGGAAUGAUGAAGUCUCUUUUGGCCGUUGCUCAAAAGAAAGCCACUUGCAAAUCUGACAGGAAGUGAGCUGACAGCCGGAGUGCUGGAGGCAAAUAUCUUAUGCAAAAUAUCUGGCUGUGCUGACCGCCUUGAGGUCAGGGGUGGAAGGACCAAAUCUCUUAAGUCACACUGAUAAGUACAAUCGGACUGGGAAGUACCACUUCAGUGCCUGCCGAAUGCUUUGAAGAAGAGGGGAGAUUGCUAAGUGUCAAAGGCAAACUCAAAAUCGGAGAAACCCGGAAGCCUAGCAUGUGUUCUUUGCCUGUAGGCAUGCAGAUGGCUGCGUGCACUUGCAAAUGCAGAGUGAGCACUCGGUGACCAAGACUUUGAAGAAUUUCCUGGGACUCGCUUGGGUUUGGCUCAUCUGCUUUUCUGGAGACGGGUGUGGAUGUGCAGAAACCCGGGGCUUUCAUACAAAAUACUAUCUAGCCUUUUUUGGGGAACCUGAAUAAAGCUUGAAUGCGAAUGAUUGCUGCAAAUGCAUCGAAGCCUGUUUGAGGCCUUACGUCACUGCAGAAGGUCUGCUGGCCAUGAGGUAUGUGCCCUUCUAAGCUCGUGCCCCUGUCUGGUGGGAGGGGAGGGCAGCUGGCAGAAGCAGGUUCAAGGUCCUCUGCUGUACCGGACAAAGCCAGUUCUAGAGAAUUUGCUUUGUUGACUUCUGCUGCCAUUUACUCAGCUCCAUCAUGCUUUUCCCCAUAGCUUUGAAGAGGAGUGAAUAUACAGCACAUGUACGGCUUUCUGAGCAAAGAAAGCCAGAAGCCCGGAGCUCCCCUGUGGAAAUCAAUGCUCAGAGUUGGCUCUAAGAAUGGAAGGAGCAAAUGAGGUGCAGAUCACCAACUCAAGUCCAUAGCAGGACAGGGAGGAAGGAAGGGUUUAAUUAGAAAUGGUAGAACAGGGCAGGAAGUCACUGAAGUAUGAGGCCAAAAUAAAAUGUGUGGGGUGAGCGUGGGGAACAUGGAACAUAACCACACAAAAAUGUUAGGGGUGUCUCCAUGGGAGAGAAAUGAGAGAAGAGGAUAUGCUGCAUGUUUGCCUCAGGAAAAGCAAUUGCUGAUUCAUCCCAUCUGCCUUUCUCUUCAUGGGUGCUGUUGCGAAACAACAUACUUUCAUGUCUGAAGAUAAGAGGUCUGAACAUUUUACUUGAGCUGUUUCCUUGUCUGUCUUCCAGAUGCGGUCUUUGGGGAGCUUUUUCCUCUUAUUAAAAGCACAGCUUGGGAUUACAUUUCUAUUGGCAGUAGUUUGUGUGUUCUUCAGGAGAGCUUCUAACCUACCCGGUGUAUAACAUCGUAAUAAAUGCUGGGAAGGGUGACCAGCUGGUUUAGCCAUGGGCCCAGAACCACUGUCUUCAUGUGUCUGAUCAGUGAGUUGCAUUGUGAGUCGGUAUUUCAAUACCUAAAGAUCUCAAGGGUCAUACAAAGGGCCAAACAAAGAUCAAAACUAGCACAAGUCAUGUGUGUUACCGAUAUAACUUGCAUUAGAAUACGUAAGCAAGCUAUACAAAUAAUGAAGUCCUGAAAGGAAUAAAAAUUACAUUGUAGUAGAGGUAGUAGAGGACGUGAUGAAACAUAAGAAGAAAGCAAAAGAUGAAACAGCCCCCACCAAAACCACUACAACCUAGCCAGGCACAGCCUAAACACCACCACCCCACACCUGCUCAGUGCAGUCUCACCUGCUGAUGAGUACGGUACCAUGGUUUACUGCAGCUCAAAGGUAUUUCAGAAGACCUCUUUUUAUUUGAGCAUCUUUGGACAUCGAAGAGAAGCCACUUCUCCAAGGAAAAUGUGGCUCAGGACACCGCUAAUACUCGGGAAAGGGACUCGGGGCCGUGUGUAAUAAUAACUGGAUCUGUUUUCUGAGAUGAGAGCCCAGUGGACACCGUUCCUUCCAGCAGAGAUGGUGUGCUGAUGGCAAGGUUUUGGCUGCCACAUGAGGCAUAUUUACUUUCCUUUCAGUCCUCCUUUCCGCAGCUACAACAUAAUGAUAGGCACGUGUUCUGCACAGUCACAUUUUAAUGAACAAGCCCAAACUAGAGUCAAUUAACACUUUGGACCUGAAUUUUCUAUUUAGAACGGCUUCAAGUACGGAAUACCCUGCGAGGGAAUGUAUUUUACAGUGAAAAAUUAGACUUACACGAGGCCAUAGAAGCACAAAGUGCUGGGCUUUUUUUUCCUGCCCGAUCAUUUUCAUUCGUGACUCAGCAAACCUGCCCACAUGAGCUGUUAUCUGCAGCGCACGUAGCAGGAAUGCAGAAAUACCUCGGAAACCUCGUGCAGAGCCGGGGGGAGCAACAGCGAGCAGCUGGGUCCCCCUAGCGUUGUCAGUGGCCCAAGGGAGCCUGAUCUGCUUCAGCUUACAGUAGCCAAAGGACGUGCUUUUCGGUUGUGUUGUUGGUACUUGAUAGGACAGUGGUAGCUGUUGUUUAGAUAAGGCAGCUUCACCUUGCUCUGUCAACGUCACCUGCAGCAGUACAUCCACCAGGGAUGGGAUGGAGGAGCAGAGAAACACAAAACCAAGGGGCUGGGCAUUGUAUAGCAACCCAGUGCCAAAGACGCUUGCCCAGCAGCAGAGACCACCAGUCCUCCGCCCUUCCUGAGGAAGCCAGGGCAGCAUCUCUCUUGGGAUCUGCUCCAGGUUGGACACGGACUGAUCACGACUCUAUGAGUGGCUCACUGCCUGCAGUUUCAUUUAGCAUAGGAGAGCUCUGUCUGAAAAAGGAUUACAAGAAAGCCUGGACUAGGAGAAUUUUAGACAUCCUCCUCCAAACUCAGGUCUCCUCAUUCUUUCUGAGGAAUGUCCAAGACACCUUCCAAAAAUGCUCCAAAUCACAGCCUCGCUUACUACUUGGAAUGCUUUCAGAUGACAGGUAUCAGCCUUAAGUUGUACCAGGGGAGGUUCGGGUUGGAUAUCAGGAAACAUUUCUUAGACAGAGCAGUGAGGCAGUGGCACAGGCUGCCCAGGGAGGUGGUGGGGUCACCAUCCCUGGAGGUGUUGAGGAAAUGUGUGGCUGUGGCACUGAGGGACAUCAUUUAGUGGGCAUGGUGGGGAUGGGCUGACGGAUGGACUAGAUUUUAGUAGUCUUUUCCAACCUUAAAGGUUCUAUGACUAUUCUAUGUGUCUGUUUUGACAAAAACGCAUUUCAGGAACCCAGGGCCUACUCAAACAUUAGGAGUAAAAUUUCUUGGGUGAUGUCCUCUUAACUGUGUGAAGUUGCCAGGGAAACGUUGCCAGAUAGCUCAAAUAGUCCCUUGGGGUUUUUCAGUGCCUGAAAUACCUCUCACCUCCUACCAUCAGGUGCUUUUCCUGCCUUCUAAAUCUCUCACAGGUACAUUCAAAGUUAAUUACAUCUAAGUAAUCUGCAGUACCAGUAAUCCUGACUGCUCCACAGGGCCUGACGAGGAAGCAGCAAUUACAAAAUGCCUUCCCAGGCUGGGCAGUGAGAAGCAGUGACCCAGCUGUCUGCUCCUCCCGAAGCCUCUGAUGUAUGGCCUGGGUGGUGACACCAUGAGAGAAGGAAACCAAGCAGGUAAGGGCAGUAAGAAACGGUGUCAGGGCAUGGAGGACCUGUAGCUGAUCCUCCUAUUGGUAACUUGCUGAAUGAAGGUAUUAAGUAAGGCUUGCAACUAAACCGUAUUCCUGUAGCUAAGAUGCCAUACUGGGAUAUCUAGCCUUCAUUUUACCCCCAGCUUUCUAUGCAUCUUCUGACAGACCUCUAAAGAGAAGACAGGUGUAGUGAGUACACAAAUGAUGGCCCAGAGGUUGAUGUCAUGUAAAGAAAGAAGUACUAAUUGCUUCCAAACUGGGCAAUAGGAGAGCCAAAUAUUCAGCUUGUUGCUUCUUGCUCCUUCAUCCAUUCUCUGUUAUCCAGCAUAUGAGGUUACAGCUCUCAGACUUAGCAGGACAAAAACGCAACUGAGAUGAUGCCAAUGAUAGGGGUUUGUGCUGGGCCGGCGUGAGGUAUUCAGGCCAAGCUGCUGCACCUUCUUAGUGACUUAAUCUAGUCUUAAACAGCCUGGCCUGGCAGAAGCUAAAAAGGAAACGAGGGAUUAAGGCCAUGGACUAUUUCUUUUUUUAUUUUUAUGUUUUUAAUCUUUCACACUUGCAGCACACUCCCCUUUUCCUGAGCUUGUCACACCUCCCAAGCUUAGAAAAAGGAGCAGGAGAACCAUUUUGUGCUUUAUAAGCCUCUCUGGCUCCUUCCAGCUCUGCCCUUCCUUCCCUUUGCUGGGCUAAUGCCAAAUUAUGACAUAAAAUCAGACUCUUCACUGCAGUGGAUGCAAGAGGCAUGGUACAUGUGCACCAUGAAAGGACACCGUUGUUGUUAUUCACUGAACCCUGAGCUAGAAAAAGGAGCUCUUGUGUCAUCUUCCAAGUCCCUCCUGCAGAGAUGCCAAACACUCAUAGGAAAGGCAGCUAGUUGAAGAUGUUGAUUCUCAGCUCUCACUUGGUUGCAAACCUCCCUCCCUCCUAUCCCUGCCCUUCUUCCUCCACCCCGGCAGUGGCUCUGCCUUCAGCCUGGAGUGCCGGUGGAGGUGGGCGAAGGCCCUACCAACUCCACUUCGGCCCUUUCCCCACACAGGUUGUUAGGAAGGGAGAAAUAAGCAUUCCUUCAGUGUAAGGAGUGCCAUCUAACGGCCUAUUGGAGAAUCCCACAAGGCCCCUCACCUGGUGGUUUUGUUUAUAUUACAUGUGCAAGUAGAGUCUACAACAUACUGAAAUGCAAGACACUCCCCUGGCCAGCCUGCCUGCAAAUCACAUUCUAAAGGUAUCUUCAUGUAGAAUUUUUGAGUUCACAUACAAGCAAUUGUUUUCUUAAUCCUCGGACUUCAAAGAAACAAUAAUAGUUACCCAAGUUCUGACUCACAUCUGAAUUUAGAGUGAACUAUUAAUGAGUGGUGGCUAGCGUGUGAAAAACAGCUGAUGGAAAAUGGCUGCCUUGCUUCUGCCAUGACUGUGUCAGGCAGCUACAACUGUAUGCUUGCAGAGGAAUUCAGAGAAGUGACCUUGCACUGGGACCUCGAUGUAGGGUGUCUAAAUGGGACAGCAGAUGCACAGACACCUCACUUGGAGAUGUCUGACUCCAGAAGAGUAAUGAUGCACACAGGUGUGGUGACAGUUUCUUAAUAUUCUGCAGCAAAGACAUGCUGCAUCACCUCAUGGUUACCAUGAACUGCUCUAUUUAUUUAGGGGAGAUGUCUACCGCCUUUUUUUCUCAGAAAACCUACCUUUCAUUCUUUCUUCCUGCUACCUUUCAGUAUGGUGGUAUCGUGGGGUGAGAGCAUGACCAGCAGGUUGAGGGAGGUGAUCCUCCCACUGUUCUGCCCUGGUGAGUCCAUGUCUGUCUGGAGCCCUAUGUCCAGUUCUGGGCUUCCCAGUUCAAGAAAGAGAGGAAACUACUGAGGAAUGCCCAGCAGAGGAGCACGAAGGUGAUGAGGGGCCUGGAGCAUCUCCCUUAUGAGGAAAGGCUGAGAGACCUGGGGCUGGCCAGCCUAGGGAAGAGAAAAAUCAAGGGGGGAUCCAAAGAAAUGUACCAGAAGUAUAACUGUAUUAAACACACAGUGGAGAUGGCAGAGGUCAAUAUAACACGUAUUUGGCAAUAUCUGUUUUUAGAGGGAAAUGCAAGAUGGAAAAGUGUUGAUACAAAAAGGAUAUUUUAAACUAUCUGCUAGUGGACUGCUAUGGGAAACAUGAGCACUGAUGACUACUGUAGGAUGGCCAUGACUGCCAUGUGAAAACCAGGCUUCAUGAAAACGUAGAGUUCAGAACCAAUUUAUUUAGAACAUAUAAGAACAACGUGAUCCACUUUAAACAUCCUUUGUGUCAACAUCUUAAAAUACACCAGUGUUUAAAAAGAGUAAACGCGUCAUUUACCAACUUCUAUUCCACAUCACUUUAUUUCCCAGUCUUAGAAAAGAACUGCAAAUAAUUUAAAGGCAAAAAUAUGUGCAUCUAUGGCUAACAUAGCCAUUUCAACUUGUAGUAAUGUCAUAUGAGAAAGCCUAUUUCUUCUUUUAGCAAAAAUAUUUAUAACCAGUUUUAUACUUAAGUAAUCAAGCCAUUAAUUGUUUAACCAGUUAAAUACUUUCAGAGGAGUAAAAGGAAGCUUUUAGGACAUGGCCAAUAACAGUCUUUAUCAGCAUUGCUACGGACACUGCUCAUAACUUUUAUUGAUCAACGUCUACAUAAUGUGGGGCAGUUACUCAUGCGCUUAAUAACUGCAUCAUUAGAAAUAGUGAACUCUCAAUGAGUUUGUGCAAAACAUCACAGAAAAGUGGCUGGAAGGCCUAGCUGGGACCCCUGGCCAAAAGGCACACAAUAUUGAGAAUCAUUAGCCUGCAUUUCCCCACCCUUUUAACAGGGCAGCUAACUUUCAAAUCCUUCUGAAAACUAAGCUUAUCUUAAUUCUUUUUCAAUUAAGCCCUUAAGCUUAGAGCUCUCUCAUCUUCCAAGCAUGCUUUGAUUUCUUAACGUCUCUACUGAACUUCUGGAGUUCCUCUUUUCCUGUUCCACAAUCCCAUGUUAAGCUUAAAAUGGAUUGUUUGCUAUGUUUUUGGUGCCUAUGCUUCUCCCACCUUCGAUGAAAGCCCUUGAGAUUCUCUUAUUUACGUUCUCAAGGUCACAGGAGAGAAGGACCACCUGAACGUGUAAUGAUGGCUUAAACAAAAUACCUGCUGUUCUGAAGAUACCUGCUGUUUAACUCCAAUGCAAUGGAGUCUGAGCUGCUGCAGUCUGCUGAAAACGCACUUGUUUUGGUGACCUGUUAUAGCACGGUGGCAAAACCCUCUUGCCUUUUGCAGAACCUUGGUUUGAGUCUUCUUCCACAACACGAGCAACUUUAACAGGUGAUCCAUUAACAUUCUUGUAUGCUUUUGUAUUAGCAACGGAGAGCUUAGGGAACUCCCGCUUUGAAGCUAAGUUCAUUUUCUCACUAGCAUCACCAGUAAAGAGAGGAAAGAAGGUAUCGUGACGGGGUGACUUUUCAAAUUUGAUCUCAUUUUUAGGAAUUGGUAUCGUGCUUCCUGCUGAACGAUGCUGGGAAUCAGAUCUUCCAGUAUUCAUAACAUUGCUGCUGAAUGUUACGCUUUUUUCUGAGAGUCCACUGCCUGCUCCUCCAAGUCGAUACCCAUUGCCACUAAAAGGCUUUGGAUCUUUCUUGUCACCCAAAUGCACCUGGCCUGCAAAGAAGAAGAAAACACAAAAAUCUAACAACUUUGUCAUAUAUAAACCAU
rnacentral:lncRNA from 1 species